rnacentral:lncRNA from 1 species
GGUCAUGCUAAAGGGAUCACUACUAUUUAUUUGAUCAACAUUUUCAACAUCAUCACUCACUUGAGAUCCAUUAAACACAUCACACACAUCCUCAAGUGCUGGACAAAUUUCGCACAUAAGUUGAUCAACACAACUCCCACAAGAUGAUGUACUCUCAUUCAACACAUUGGCUUCAACACUAGGUGGACAUAAAUUGAUCUUAUAAGAAGAGUCAAUUCGGUCAUCAAUAGGAUCAAAUAGUGUAUCCAUAUUCACAACAUGUACAUCAUCAUCGAGGGGCAAAGAAUCAAUAAAUGAUGUAUUAUCAUUCAACACAAUGGCUUUAACACUAGGUGGACUUAAAUUGAUCUUACAAGAAGAGUCAAUUCGGUCAUCAAUAGGAUCAACUAGUGUAUCCACACUCACAACAAGUACAUCAUCAACAAGAGGCAAAGAAUCAAUAGAAUCACAAAUAGGUAAGCUACUACUCACACUUAAUGGGCUACUAGCCACACAAUUAUCAUUCACAUGCACAAAAGUAUAAGAGUUAGCUAUUUGACCUUGAAGUUCUUGAGUAAAU